AUCCAGCUGACGAAUCCCGAAUAGGACGGAGUGCGCGUCUUGGAU
rfam:Schistosoma mattheei strain Denwood, Zambia genome assembly, scaffold: SMTD_scaffold0015565